UACAGAGGUCUCAAGCGUUGUUCGGAUGCAUUGGGCGUAAAGGGUGCGUAGGCGGCGCGGUAAGUCGGGUGUGAAAUCUUGGAGCUUAACUCCGAAACUGCAUUCGAUACUGCGGUGCUUGAGGACUGGAGAGGAGACUGGAAUUCAUGGUGUAGCAGUGAAAUGCGUAGAGAUCAUGAGGAAGACCAGUGGCGAAGGCGGGUCUCUGGACAGUUCCUGACACUGAGACACGAAGGCCAGGGGAGCAAACGGG
rnacentral:rRNA from 1 species